CUACUGUUUUGUGAUCAAGCGCGGAGCACCGAAGGUUAUUGGAUAGUAUGCACACUAUUUUAUAUUUAUAUAUAGUGAGAUAUUCGGAUAUAAAUUUACAAAAUUGCACUUGAAAAAUUUAGAGGGAAUUUUUCCUCCAUAGACCAUAAUUAAUUAUUUUACUUGAUUAAAAAGUACGCAGUAGAGGGUAAAUCAUCCCUCCGAAAUAAUUUUAGUUAAAAAAAAGUGGGAAAUCUCACUCUUAUUUUAUUCCAAUAGUAACUUUUUAAUAUUUAGAAAAAAAAAGAGUAUUAUUUUUUUUUUUUAUUUUUAUUUUUUUUUUUUUUUACAAAAAAAGGUGAGUAAACUCCAUCUUCUCCAUUCAAACAAACAAAAAGACCCAAAGCAUGAAAAAUAAGAACCCAAGAAUUGGCUAGAACAACUGUUUUCACCCAUUCUCUAUCUUCUCUUCUUUCUUUUUUUUUUUUUUUCGAUAUACUCCAUCUUCUCUUCAGAUCUUAGUUCUCCUUCGUCACUGGAUUUGCUCGACCGCUCAAGCAUCUACUCCAUUCUUUGUCUUAUCAACUCAAGUGGGAAAUGUUAGCGUAUUCCUGCUUGCUUCAAAGAUGUGUUGGAUGAUGGAUUUAUGAAUAUUGAAUUGUCUUUGCGUGGUGGUGAUAAAUCUUGGUUUGUUACUUUAGUACAUGAAGAAUGUGCCAAUGGAUGGGGAACAUACUUUGAUGCAGGGUGGUCAGAUUUUGUGGAAGAUAAUGGUUUAGAUGUUAGUGAACGCUUUAAUAUUUAUGUAUUUAGGAGAUAGUUCAUUCUCUGUUGUGAUUCAUGCUGCUAGGAGAAGUAAGAAGGCAAUAGGAGCAGGAUAGAAUAAGGAUAGUGGUAGUUCUGGAAAAAGGCGUGGACGUAAGCUUGCUAUUCAAGGGCUCUCGCCGAAAAUGAAAGAGACCAACUCUGGGUUUGUUGAGCUUGCGGCUUCUUACCGUGAAGAUUAUUUCCUGUUUUCUUUUACUAAAGCUUAUAUCAAUCAAGGAAUAACAGUAUGUUUGUCAUUUUCUUUUCUGUCUUUUUGUCUUUUGUUUUUUAACUUGCUUUUCUAUGUAUUAAUUUUUUUUUUGUUUUGAUGAUUUUCUUAUGGCCGAAUGCCCCUCUGUAUUUUGCUAAAAAGCAUUUCAAUGGUUUUCCUGAGUUAACCGAUGUAAUUCUUCAGAAUUUUGAUACACAGUUUGAAGUGCGGCUGAAAAUUGUGAAGAAGUAUAAUGCGAUCACUCAGUGUACUAUUAGGAAUGGUGUUAAAGAAUUCGUUGACCGUUACAAUGUCCAAGUAGAUGAAGGUGCUUUGCUUAAAUUUAGAAAAGGAGAUCCCAUUAUUUUUGAUGUUGAUUUAGCCUUAGUGUAAAAUUUAGAAAUGGUUGUCCUAUUUAGGAGUUUGUGUUAGUAGGACUAUAUUUCUAGUUUUCUAGUAAUGUCUUUGUGAAGGGACUAAUAAGAGCAGUGCUAAAUUUAUAUUUAGGAGUUGGUUUAAGAUUGAUGUCUUUUGAAUUUGUAUCUCAGCUUGUUUAAUUAAGCAUUUGGAUAUGUAAGUUUAUUUUUGGUUAGUGUUAAA